CAAGUGUUGUGGCGGAAAAGGUCUUGGCUAAACAGGAAGUUUGGUGGAUUAGGAAAUUGGUAGGCCAAGGUCUAGGCUGGAGAAGGCCGGAGUUAAAAGUGUGGAGGUAGGUUCGAGCCCAUCGGUGGCUAUGGACCAAGGGGUGUAGGGGUGUCUAGGUACACCCCUGCAGUUAAACAAAUGGAGGUGGGGUAGGCCGUGAGUUACAUGUUAUGUAUUAUUGGUUAUGUUAAUGUUUGUUCUUUG